UCAAUGGCUCUCUGAUCCCAGUGAAAUCCAGCUGGCUGAAGAGCUCCGAGUCUCAUCCGUGGAAACAUGUCAGACUCGCUGGUGUGUGUCAGUGAUUAUGAGCGUCAGGCUCAGAGACUUCUACCAAAGUCAGUGUUUGAUUAUUAUUUCUCAGGAGCAGACGAGCAGCAAACUCUGCAUGAUAAUGUAGCAGCGUUCGCCAGGUGGUGCAUUUACCCUCGUGUGCUGAGGGACGUGUCCUCAGUGGACAUGUCCACCACAGUUCUGGGCCAGAGAGUCAGUAUGCCCAUCUGUGUGGCAGCUACUGCUAUGCAGAGAAUGGCGCAUCCCGACGGCGAGACGGCCACUGCGAGAGCCUGCCUGUCCUGUGACACGGGGAUGAUGCUGAGCUCAUGGGCCACCUCCACCAUAGAGGAAGUAGCGGAGGCCGCACCUGGGGCCGUGCACUGGAUGCAGCUGUACAUUUAUAAAGACCGAGCGCUGACUCAGUCUCUGGUCAGGAGGGCCGAGGAGGCCGGGUAUAAGGGUAUCUUUGUCACAGUGGACACACCUUAUCUUGGCAGGCGACGUGAUGACGUGCGCAACCGAUUUAAGCUGCCCUCUCAUUUGAGGAUGGCCAAUUUCGAGACCCCUGAUUUAGCCUUCUCCUCAAAAGAGGGUUACGGGGAGGACAGCGGCCUGGCGGUGUAUGUAACUCAGGCCAUAGAUGCCACGGUGAAGUGGGACGACAUCGCCUGGCUGAAGAGAAUGACCUCGCUGCCUGUGGUGGUCAAAGGAGUUUUGACAGCUGAAGAUGCCAAAGAAGCGCUGAAGUAUGGGGUGGAUGGAAUACUUGUGUCAAACCACGGAGCAAGACAGCUUGAUGGAGUUCCAGCCACCAUUGACGCUCUGCCUGAGGUUGUGGAGGCUGUAGAAGGAAAGGUGGAUGUCUUCAUGGACGGAGGUGUUCGUAAGGGCACAGAUGUGCUGAAGGCUCUGGCUCUGGGAGCAAAGGCAGUGUUUGUAGGGAGACCCGUCCUGUGGGCGCUCGCCUGUGAGGGUGACAAAGGAGUCAGCAAUGUUCUCCAAAUACUGCGCGAGGAACUUCACCUUGCAUUGGCGCUGACAGGCUGUUGCUCACUGAAGGAAGUCAACAGAUCCCUUCUGAGAAGAUCUGAACUCAUUUCAAGGAUCUAAUGAGCAGAACUGUUGCAUGCUGGGAGAUUUCAUGUGUGCCAGUGACUGGACCGACUUGUGUAAUUCAAAUGAACCCAGAGGAUUUGGGCACGACAGAUUUAGCAUCAUGAAUAAAACAUUUGUUACUGUGAACGAGUUCCUCAUGAAUAUGCAUUCUCCCUCCACGGGGCCCGAAAGGCAAACAGGUUUGUGAGAGGUUCAGAAAGGUCACACACAAGGCAUGGGAUUUCUUUACUAGCUCUUUCCAUGGCUGAACCACAGGACCUGAAUGAAGCCAUUAUAUGCAUUGACUCUCCACAGGAAAACAAACUUUGUCAGGGUCUGUUCAUUAGGACUUAACACUUUGUUUGAGCCGCCUACUUGUGUGCAGGGGCCAGAAAGGGGAAGUGAGCUCCUGCUGAAAUCAAACAAAACCUACCCUUUAUGAGAAGUUUUGCAUUGUUUGCGUGCAACCUAGAUACUUAGAUGAUAAAAGUACAGUGGCUCCAAAUAGUUUUGCAUCAGAUAAAUAAUUUAUAAUCAAUUGUAUAUGCAUGCAAAUGAUGCAAUCUCUUGCUUUGCUGCUUUUUUAUCCAAUGCAAUGAUAUUUAUACAUUUUUAAGUGUAAAUCAUACAAAUGAUGCCAUUUUUGCAUCUUGCUUUGAUGCCCAACUCAAUCCGAGCAGCUGAGUCCUUAGCCAUCUUCAAGAAACGGCUAAAAACCAUAGCACUCUCUGUUCUACAGUAAUUCUAUUUUAUCUAUCUGUCUUUUUUGUUAAAAACACACACACACUUGACCCUCUAUCAAUUGCAUAUUUAUUCUCUAACUGCUAGCUUUUCUUGAAAAACUAACACUAGCUUCUUUUUUCUAUUCUAUCUACUUAUUUCUUUUCCACUUGCAUGUAGUUGCUCUUUUGUUGGUUUUGAUUGUCCGUUGUCCUCAUUUGUAAGUAGCUUUGGAUAAAAGCGUCUGCUAAAUGACUAAAUGUAAAUGCAAUGAUAUUUAAACAUUUUCAAAUGUGGCUUAAGCAUCCAAAUACAUUUUCAUUAAUUCAUGCUGAAAUCUG